rnacentral:lncRNA from 1 species
GAAUGGCAUGAACCCGGGAGGCGGAGCUUGCAGUGAGCCGAGAUCGCGCCACUGCACUCCAGGCUGGGCGACAGAGCGAGACUCUGUCUCAAAAAAAAAAAAAAGAAAAAAGAAAGUGCAUUCAGAAUUGGGGAGGGGAGAGAUCAAUGUGUGUUAGAGCCAAGGAAACAUUUAGUAAAGAUGGAAUUUAGCCCUUAAGGACUGUCAGGCCAGAGCAAUAGGAAGUACAAACAUUUCAUAUGUAGAGAAUAACACGAACAAGGCACAAGAGCAGAAAUAUGAGUAACAGCCUCAGUGGGUCCUAUUCGUUAUGCACCUAUCAUGUCCCUUGCACUAUGCCGGGCCCUUUGCACUCAUUAUAUACGAUGCUCACAGCAAUCCUGAGAUUGUGAGGCGGGUAUUUUACAAAUACAAGAAGUCAGUUUUAGAGAAGUACUAAAUGGCAGACUCAGGAUUCAUGUCUGCACUUCAUUCACUGCGUAGGAAGGUGAGGGUGGUUAAGGAGGUGCCACUCUGGGAGCAGAAGGCAGUCACUGGAGCAGAUCAGUGGAGCUACGUUACGGAGAUCCGGGAUGGUCCGUGAGGAUGCUGGGCCUCACCUGCCUCUUCCUCCUGCUUGCCACCUCUCAGUCACAAGACGGCUGCUGCGACUCAGGCUCAUGUCCCAAUUCAAGGCAGCAAGAAGGCCAUGGAGCGGCACCUGCCAGCAGAUGCCCCUGCAGGCCAUCUCUCCAGGCUCAGGAACCUAAAGAAGAAUCUACCCAGAUGUGGUGGCUCACACCUGUGAUCCCACCACUUUGGGAGGCUGAGGCAAGAGGAUCACUUGAGCCCAGGAGUUGGAGACCAACGUAGGCAAUACAGCAAGACUCCCAUCUCUACAAAAAAAAAAAAGAAAGAAAGAAAGAAAGAAAAGAAAUUAGCUGGCUGUGGUGCUGCACAUUUGUAAUACCAGCUACUCUAGAGGCUGAGGCUGGAGGAUCACUUGAGCCGAGGAGUGAGCUAUGACCACACCAUUGCAUUUCAGCCUCAGUGACAGAGCAAGGCCCUGCCUCAAAAAAAAAAAAAAAAAAAGAAAAGAAUAAGAUAAAAUAAAUAAUACAGGAGAACCUAGUGCUCAGGUUCUCUAGUGAAGAGGAAGGCAAAAGAUAGAAAGGUCAGACAAACUUAAACAUGCAUUCCAAGAUCGGCCUGGGUCCGCCCGUAGACAUGAAGGAAUCUUCUGGUGGAAAGUUAGGCAGGGAAACGGACACUGCUAUGAGCAUGUCUUCCUGGGCAGCUUGCGAUGGUCAGGAGGAGGUGGUUGUUCCUCAGCAGCGGUGCUUCCGAUGAAGCCCCAUGUUGUAGUGGAAGACAAGCCAUUCCUGUCUGACCUUCUGUGCCGCGCCUAGGCUUCCAAAAGCUGCUAUCGCCAAGAUCCAUUUCCGUUCACCUUUAAACUGCUUGUUAUGGGGAGGAGUCAGCCAGCCAUGAUGCAUACUUGUUACAGAAAGAAACGCCCACGUUGAGCUCUCCUGAUAAGAAGAGAGAGCAUUCGUCAUUGUCUGUAUCUGUCAUCUGAAGAAGGAACCAAUGUCAAAAAUCCCACACAUUCUCCUCCCGCAAGUCACAGAGUAAGCCUCCCAUUCUUGAGCUCGUUCAUUCACCAAACACAUUCUGAUCUCUCCUGUGCCCAGGCGGUGGGAUUCAGAGAAGAAGUGCUGCCUAGUAGUCAGCACCCAGUGCCAGGAAAACAGGACAAGGGGAGUUGUCGGGGGAGACACCAGGAUUGAAGUUGCUUUUACUAAAAAACAUUUUUUUUAUCUUGUUAACAAAUAUAUUUACCAUGGUACAUGGUGGCAAUGCUCUCAGUUUUAAAACACAGCAAUUAUCUUCCAGUGGUCACUAAUUAAUCCAGGUGUGGCUAGGAACAGCUGGAUACUGAUCUGUGUGAUGAUGGCACCUCUAUCAUCAGGCUGCCAUUGCUGGCACUUUGGGCAAGGUGGACUGGGGUUCUGCUCUGGGGCUGUGUGCCCAAGGUUUACACCUCACUAUUUUACAGCACACUGGAGCUCCCAACAGUCCCCGAAGGUCUGGAGAUCACCAAUGGGCAGGAGAGAAGGGAGGGGUUUAGACAUCAGGGAGCCAAGUUCUACAGCAUCUUCUAGAUCCAGGCUAUCGAGCACUUGAAAUGCGGCUAAGUCUGAAUUGAGAUGUGCUGUGUGUAAGAGACACAACAGAUUUUGAAGACAGUAUGAGAAAAAGAACAUAAAAUAUCUCAGUAAUUUUAUAUUGAUUACAUGUUGAAAUGAUACUAAUUUUUGAUAUACUGGGUUAAAUAAAAUAGAUUAUUAAAAUUAACUUCAUCUCUUUCUUUUGACCUUUUCAACAUGGCCAUUAGAAAAUUCAGCUUACGUAGUAGGCUCACUUUCUACUGCACAGCCCUGGAUGUCAAACUCAAUGAGAGCGGUGUCUGUACCUGUAUCUGCUCAUCCAGUCCAUAAAAGUCAGCACAGUACCUAGCACUGAAAGUACUCCAUAAAUAUUUGAGGGAUGGACAAAAGUACAAGUGAACAAAUAGCAUCUGCUCCUCAUUUCUGGCAAGAUUGUAUUUUGUCCACUGUGGCAUCAGUGGUACCCAGGACAGGCCUGUUACUGACUGGAGGGGAAAAGAUCAAUGAAGGUGAUGGAUGGAUGGAAGGAUGGCUGAAUAGACAGAUGGACAGAUAAAUGGGUGAGUGACAUAGAGCAGUAGAGACUUCUCGCAGUCUGGGGUAUUAGAAACUUCCUCAAGGAACUGGCAUUUGAGCUGAAUCUUACAGGCUAAGGAAGAUUUAGCUGUAUGAGGUGAUAACAAGGGCAAACCCAGGCAAAGCCAACAUCCUUAGCAAAAGCUCAAUGGGCCAGAAAAGUGUGACUGCAGGAGAGUUGGCAAGCUAUGGAGACAUGGAAAGAAAGAUUGACGAGAGAAGAUACGUUUGACGUCUUUUGGCCAGGCGUGGUGUCUCACACCUGUAAUCUCAGCACUUUGGGAGGCCGAGGCGGGCAGAUCACAAGGUCAGGAGUUCAAGACCAGGCUGGCCAACAUAGUGAAACCCCAUCUCUAUUAAAAAUACAAAAAUUAGCCAGGUGUGCUGGUACGUGCCUGUAAUCCCAGCUACUUGGGGGGCUGAGGCAGGAGAAUUGCUUAAACCCGAGAGGCGGAGGUUGCAGUGAGCUGAGACCACGCCAUUGCACCCUAGCCUGGGUAACAGAGCGAGAUUCUGUCUUAAAAAAAAAAAAAAAAAAAAAAAAAAAAGACACGUUUGAUGUCUUCUGAGCCCCUUGGAAGGGGUUUCAGCUCCUUGAAGGCAUGGCCAGUUCAUGGUUGCAUUCCCAGAUCCUAGCACAGUGCCUCUUGCACUGAAAGAAUGAAACAAUCAACAAUCCAUGAAUGAAGGUUGGUCCCUGGCCACUUCUCUGAAGUCAUCUCUCGUCACCCUUUUCUGGCCCCUCCAUGACGUCAUGUAGAUAUUCUUGUCUUCUCUUCAACAUGACUCGGAGCCUUUGUAUUUGCUUUUCCCUCUUCUGUGCUCCGCCCUCACUGACCUGCCUGCUCUUCCCCUCACAUGCCUGGAGACCUUCCCACUUGCCAUUUCUUUGAUCUUUCUGCUUGGAAAAUUCUUCCUGCCUAUCUUCAUUUGAUUCCUCCCUUCAUUUGAAUCUCUGUUUAAAAUCUCUUUCACUUCUUUGAGAGGCCGCCCUGCCAGCCUAUGAAGAGUUGCCUCUCUCCAGUCACUUCCAAAUCCCCCCAACCUGCUUUGUUCUUUAUAGCACAUACCACCACCUUAUAUCAUUAGACAGUCGUUUCUUUAUUGUUGACUGCCCCCCACUCCUCUUGCUAGAAUCUAGUUCUCAUUCAAAAGACCUCACAUAGUGGUAAGGACUUUUCUUAUUUACUGCUAAUCCUCUGAAGCCUAGAACAGUGUUUGAGACAUAAAUAAUAGUCAGUAAAUAUUUGUUGAGGCCAGCGCAGUGGCUCAUGCCUGUAAUCCUAGUGUUUUGAGACAUAAAUAAUAGUCAGUAAAUAUUUGUUGAGGCCAGCGCAGUGGCUCAUGCCUGUAAUCCUAGUGCUUUGAGACACCUAAGCGGGAGGAUCACUUGAGGCCAGGAGUUGGAGGCCAGCCUGAACAAGAAAGCAAGACCCUUGUCUCUACCCACCCCUACCAAAAAAAAUUAACUUGGCAGGAUGUGGUGGCAUGCGCCUGUCAUCCCAACUGCUUGGGAGGUCGAAGUGGGAGGAUUGCUCGAACCCAGGAGUUAAAUGCGGUAGUGAGUUAUGAUCACGACACUGUACUCCAGCCUGUGACAGAGUGAGACC